GGCUAGGGCGAGGUGGCAUGCACCUGUGGUUCCAGCUAUGAAAGAGGCCGAGGUGGUAGGAUCGCUUGAGCUCGGGAGAUGGAAUGCACCACUGCACUCCAGCCAGGAAGUGUAAUGGUGGAGAGAGCACUGCCCUCCUCAUGUGAGUGUUGGGAGGAUUAGGAGGAUGACACAGAGCCCAGCAGGAACACCAUGCUCAGCUAGCCAACGCCAUAGAUCUGCGCACAUCAGACUAUUCUCAUUGCUGCUUUGACUCUGCUGUCCAUUUUGAUAACCACUCCCACCACACACACACACACACACACACACACACGGGAACUGGCUCAUGCUUUUAUGGAGGCUUACAAGUCCUAAGAUCUGCAGUCAGCAACAUGAAGACCUAGGAGUA